GCUAAUACCGGAUAGUUCCUUGAACCGCAGGGUUCAAGGAUGAAAGACGGUUUCGGCUGUCACUUACAGAUGGACCCGCGGCGCAUUAGCUAGUUGGUGGGGUAAUGGCUCACCAAGGCGACGAUGCGUAGCCGACCUGAGAGGGUGAUCGGCCACACUGGGACUGAGACACGGCCCAGACUCCUACGGGAGGCAGCAGUAGGGAAUCUUCCGCAAUGGACGAAAGUCUGACGGAGCAACGCCGCGUGAGUGAUGAAGGUUUUCGGAUCGUAAAGCUCUGUUGUUAGGGAAGAACAAGUGCGAGAGUAACUGCUCGCACCUUGACGGUACCUAACCAGAAAGCCACGGCUAACUACGUGCCAGCAGCCGCGGUAAUACGU
rnacentral:rRNA from 2 species